GUUACCGUGAAAUAUACAUGGAAGACUAUAUGUGAGAGGAUAUUGUGACUGUACAUAAGUCUAUAGAAAUCAUGACAGAAGUUCCAGAGGAAAUAAACCCCCAGCAAUGUGGAGAGCGGAAGCAGCUUUAUCAUCACAUAGAAGUUAUUAACAUGUUUGGAAGGCAGACCGUGAAAAGGUACACACUGACAGCUUAUGGUAUAAAACUCCAGCAGUCAUUGGCUAUCUGAAAAAGUUAUUUAUAUUUCAUGAAAUGUCUGGAAGAUCUGUGAAGUACAAGUGGAAGAUAGGGAAAGUUCAGUCCAAGAAGAUGUGAAGGUAAG